AAAUAUGCCCUACAUAAUCGAUAACCAAUUCAAAAUCGCCCAGGAGAAAUUUAUUCUCUGAGCUCCCAUUUUGCAGACAAAAAUAUGCUUUCAUAAUCAAUAACCAUUUAAUUAAUGAUAUAAUCAAAAUCACCCAGAAAAAAAAUAUUCUCUGGACAUGUUCUUAUUUUUUGAAAGGAUUUUCUUCAUUUUUUUGGUUUCAUCUUUGAUCAAGAUCAUAAAAAAUAACUGAUACAUCUCUGUUAUCUCAUGCCUGAUAUUCAAAUCUACAUAUAUGUUAAUAGACACAAGUUAAAUUCAACUAAUUAAACGUGACAAGACUUUAUAUUUAUUCUCUGAUGCACAAACCUUUUAGCGGCGAGCGGCGGCGACGAGAGUCAGAUGCGAGAGCUAGAAGCGUUAAUGGGCGUAAAUAAUAUGAAGGGAUUCCCUUUACGUAAAUUAAUUUUUAAUUAAAUGGGUCGGAUUGGGUCGGGUUUUAAUUAAAUCUCUUGUAAAUUAAAAAUUUUUUUAUGACGUAAAUAAGGCCAUCCACGCUUCUGCAGAUCCCAUUCGUAAGUCAAUAAUGAUGAUGAUGUGAAGGAUAGAGUGGAAGCAAAUCAGACUAUAAAAAUGAAUGGAAAGGAAUUGACGAAGGGAGAAUCACUGGAUUGGAAGAAAUUGAUGGAUGAAGAUCCCAUUCAUUAUAGUUGUUGGAUUCUCUGUCUGCCUGGAUUCGUUUGUAUCAUUGUUGACCGUCGUGCCAACACGGAUCAUCGAAACCUUAUGGAGGCUUCUUAGAACAAGGCGGUUCAAGAUGCCUUCGUCAGCGGAGCUAUCAGAUUUUGGCUGUUUUGCUGUCCUGGUCAGUGGAGUCAGUAUAUUACAACAAGCAGGUGUAUUAAGGAGAUU